rnacentral:misc_RNA from 1 species
UUUUAGGGAGACCUACACCCCUCAAAUCUUGAAAGCAAAGUGCAAAUAGAGAUUGAGAUGGUCAAACCUAGGUCGGUCGAGAUUGGUGUAAAGCUUUCAAAGGAUUAUCGGUUCGGUUUACUAAUUUAUUAGCUACAUAACUUUGGGAAAACAUUCAGCAACACGGUGGAUAGCCAGACUGCUGGGUUAGAUUCCAGCCAGAACCUUGAAAACUGCAUAGUAACGCGAAAAAUGUAGGUAGUCAGUAGUCAUUGGUCAGUGGUCAGUAGCGAAACAACUGACAACUAACAAUUAACAACUGACAGUUACAGACACCAAUAGUUUGUGAUG